AUUGAACGCUGGCGGCAGGCCUAACACAUGCAAGUCGAACGAGUGGCGGACGGGUGAGUAAUGUAUGGGAACCUGCCUGAUGGAGGGGGAUAACUACUGGAAACGGUAGCUAAUACCGCAUACCAUCAGAUGUGCCCAGAUGGGCUUAGCUGGUUGGUGGGGUAACGGCUCACCAAGGCGACGGUCCCUAGCUGGUCUGAGAGGAUGACCAGCCACACGGGAACUGAGACACGGUCCAGACUCCUACGGGAGGCAGCAUUGGGGAAUAUUGCACAAGGGGCGCAAGCCUGAUGAAGCCAUGCCGCGGGUAUGAAGAAGGCCUUCGGGUUGUAAAGUACUUUCAGCGGGGAGGCGUUACCCGCAGAAGAAGCACCGGCUAACUCCGUGCCAGCCGCCGCGGUAAUUC
rnacentral:rRNA from 1 species